UGGGGAAUAUUGCACAAUGGGCGAAAGCCUGAUGCAGCGACGCCGCGUGAGGGAUGACGGCCUUCGGGUUGUAAACCUCUUUCAGUAGGGACGAAGCGCAAGUGACGGUACCUGCAGAAGAAGCACCGGCUAACUACGUGCCAGCAGCCGCGGUAAUACGUAGGGUGCGAGCGUUGUCCGUAAUUACUGGGCGUAAAGAGCUCGUAGGCGGUUUGUCACAUCGUCUGUGAAAUCCUAGGGCUUAACCCUGGACGUGCAGGCGAUACGGGCUGACUUGAGUACUACCGGGGAGACUGGAAUUUCUGGUGUAGCGGUGGAAUGCACAGAUAUCAGGAAGAACACCGAUGGCGAAGGCAGGUCUCUGGGUAGUAACUGACGCUGAGGAGCGAAAGCAUGGGUAGCGAACAGG
rnacentral:rRNA from 1 species